rnacentral:rRNA from 1 species
AUGCGUCUCAUGCAUUAUGUGUUUCGCCCUUACAUUGGUGAAUUUGUUGUUGUCUACUUUGAUGAUAUCCUUGUGUUUAGCAAAUCUCUCAAAGAGCAUGUCAACCACCUUCGCACCGUGCUACAAACUCUUCGAAAAGAGCAACUUUAUGCUAAUAUGGAAAAAUGCCUCUUUGGUGUUGAUAAGCUUGUUUUCUUGGGUUUUGUAGUAUCUUAUAAGGGUGUUCAUGUUGAUGAAUCUAAGAUCAAUGCUAUUAAAACUUGGCCCCAACCGACCAAUUUGCAACAAGUGCGUAGUUUUCUUGGUUUAGCCGGUUUCUACCGUAGAUUUGUGAAGGAUUUUAGCACCAUUGCUUCACCUUUGCAUGCUUUGAGUAAGAAAAAUGCACCGUUUGUUUGGGGAACAUCCCAAGAUAUCGCUUUCAAUGAGCUUAAGAAUUUGCUUACUCAUGCUCCCGUGCUUGCAUUACCCAACUUUGACAAACCUUUUGAAAUUCAUUGCGAUGCUAGUGGUAAUGGCAUAGGAGGUGUGUUAAUGCAAGAGAAGCGCCCCAUAGCAUACUUUAGUGAGAAACUCUCCGGCGCGCAACUCAAUUAUCCCAUCUAUGACAAAGAGCUAUAUGCUUUAGUGCGAGUUUUGCGUGAAUGGGAACAUUACCUUCGCCCUCAUGAAUUUAUCAUCCAUACCGAUCAUGAAACGCUUAAAUAUCUUAAGGGUCAAACUAAGUUGAACAAGCGUCAUGCUAAAUGGAGUGAAUUUAUUGAGUCUUUUCCUUAUGUCAUCAAGUAUAUUAAAGGUAAGGAAAAUGUUGUGGCGGAUGCACUUACCCGUAUAUGCAUGCUUGUUACUCAACUUGAAUUGAAUGUCAUUGGCUUUGAGCACAUAAAAGACUUGUAUGAGCAUGAUCCUACUUUUGCCAUUCCUUAUGCCAAAUGUUUGACGCAUACAUCUUGGGAAUGCUAUUACAUCAAAGAUGAAUAUCUUAUGAGAGCUAACAAACUUUGCAUCCCCGAGUCUUCUCUUCGUUUGUUGAUUUUGCAAGAAUCUCAUGGAGGAGGACUAAUGGGACAUUUUGAACGCGACAAGACCCUUGCUACGCUCUCCAAGAACUACUUUUGGCCUAAGAUGUUCCGCGACGUCAACCGCUUCACCAAUCGAUGCUCUACAUGUCGCAAAGCUAAGUCUCAAACUCAAUCUCAAGGCCUUUACAUGCCACUUCCAAUUCCAUAUCAACCAUGGGAAGAUAUUAGCAUGGAUUUGUGCUUGGUUUGCCUAGAACUAGAAACGACAAGGAUUCUGUUUUUGUUGUUGUGGACCGAUUCUCCAAAAUGGCUCAUUUCAUUCCUUGGAACAAGAUAG